UACAGAGGUCUCAAGCGUUGUUCGGAUUCAUUGGGCGUAAAGGGUGUGUAGGUGGCGCCGUAAGUCGGGUGUGAAAUUUCGGAGCUUAACUCCGAAACUGCAUUCGAUACUGCGGUGCUUGAGGACUGGAGAGGAGACUGGAAUUCAUGGUGUAGCAGUGAAAUGCGUAGAGAUCAUGAGGAAGACCAGUGGCGAAGGCGGGUCUCUGGACGACUCCUGACACUGAGGCACGAAAGCUAGGGGAGCAAACAGG
rnacentral:rRNA from 1 species